rnacentral:rRNA from 1 species
AGUGAACGCUGGCGGUAGGCCUAACACAUGCAAGUCGAACGGCAGCACAGUAAGAUCUUGCUCUUACGGGUGGCGAGUGGCGGACGGGUGAGGAAUACAUCGGAAUCUACUUUUUCGUGGGGGAUAACGUAGGGAAACUUACGCUAAUACCGCAUACGACCUACGGGUGAAAGCAGGGGAUCUUCGGACCUUGCGCGAUUGAAUUAGCCGAUGUCGGAUUAGCUAGUUGGCGGGGUAAAGGCCCACCAAGGCGACGAUCCGUAGCUGGUCUGAGAGGAUGAUCAGCCACACUGGAACUGAGACACGGUCCAGACUCCUACGGGAGGCAGCAGUGGGGAAUAUUGGACAAUGGGCGCAAGCCUGAUCCAGCCAUACCGCGUGGGUGAAGAAGGCCUUCGGGUUGUAAAGCCCUUUUGUUGGGAAAGAAAAGCAGCAGGUUAAUACCCCGCUGUUCUGACGGUACCCAAAGAAUAAGCACCGGCUAACUUCGUG